rnacentral:rRNA from 1 species
AGCGAACGCUGGCGGCAGGCCUAACACAUGCAAGUCGAACGAACUCUUCGGAGUUAGUGGCGGACGGGUGAGUAACACGUGGGAACGUGCCUUUAGGUUCGGAAUAACUCAGGGAAACUUGAGCUAAUACCGGAUGUGCCCUUCGGGGGAAAGAUUUAUCGCCUUUAGAGCGGCCCGCGUCUGAUUAGCUAGUUGGUGAGGUAAAGGCUCACCAAGGCGACGAUCAGUAGCUGGUCUGAGAGGAUGAUCAGCCACAUUGGGACUGAGACACGGCCCAAACUCCUACGGGAGGCAGCAGUGGGGAAUCUUGCGCAAUGGGCGAAAGCCUGACGCAGCCAUGCCGCGUGAAUGAUGAAGGUCUUAGGAUUGUAAAAUUCUUUCACCGGGGACGUUAAUGACGGUACCCGGAGAAGAAGCCCCGGCUAACUUCGUG